ACUGGCCCUGCGCCCGGGCACCGCCUGCGCUGCGCCGCCCGGCCUCACUCCGCGGCCCGCCAGGACCCGGCCCCGGUGAACGGGCUCGGGGUGCCGAGGUCCGGCUGCGGGGCCGGGAAGCCACCUCCACCUUGCCGUCUGUUACGACCCCCGAGGCGCAAGGCUGAGCCCCAUCUCGCUAUCCGGGUCCGGAGGGGUUCACCUUAGAAGGAUUUUUUGAAGCUCUUGGCGCUGGCUCUAAAAGAACCCACUUCCUUGCGGAUUUCAGGAGUCAAGAAUCCUUAAACGGAGCCAAUUUGCUUUGUAAAGCCAAUUGCCCAAGUGACUUGAGUUCGAAAGGAGAUACUUCCUGGACAACUGCUAUAAAAACAACAACAAAUACUUUUAUUAAUUCGGGGAGCCUGGUCACCAACUGGAUGCUCAGGGGAGAUGGAACCCUGAGCAGCCCAUGUACAUGGAAGAUCUUUAUUGCAGAGAUCUUCAAACCAGGUAAGCCCUGCCAGCUUUUGUCCCUCCACUCCUUUCUCCAAUCCAGAGUUCCUUGCUGCCAAAGGAAGAAUUUGUGGGAAGAGGAAACUCUUCUCUCUCGUUGCU
ensembl:lncRNA BAALC-AS1 BAALC antisense RNA 1